rnacentral:rRNA from 1 species
GAUGAACGCUGGCGGCGUGCCUAAUACAUGCAAGUCGAGCGAACAGACGAGGAGCUUGCUCCUCUGACGUUAGCGGCGGACGGGUGAGUAACACGUGGAUAACCUCCCUAUCAGACUGGGAUAACUUCGGGAAACCGGAGCUAAUACCGGAUAAUAUAUUGAACCGCAUGGUUCAAUAGUGAAAGACGGUUUUGCUGUCACUUAUAGAUGGAUCCGCGCCGCAUUAGCUAGUUGGUAAGGUAACGGCUUACCAAGGCAACGAUGCGUAGCCGACCUGGGAGGGUGAUCGGCCACACGGGAAGGGAGACACGGUCCAGACGCCUAAGGGAGGCAGCAGUAGGGAAUCUGACGCAAUGGGCGAAAGCAUGACGGAGCAAGGCCGCGUGAGUGAUGAAGGUCUUCGGAGCGUAAAAAUCUGUUAUUAGGGAAGAACAAAUGUGUAAGUAACUAUGCACGUCUUGACGGUACCUAAUCAGAAAGCCACGGCUAACUACGUG